CUCCCUUGGUAGUGUGUUUAGGAUGGCAAACUAGAGAAACACCUAGGAACAGGCAAGGGAAGAAGCAUGGAUCCUAGCAUUAGCCUCCCAUUUUUAGAAUGGGUCAGUUACUAUAAUUGCCAUUGCUCACACUAGUGGUAGGACAUCCAGCCCUGGACAGCAGGACAGAAAGCAAAACUUCUGAGCUGCAAAAAUAAACGCAGGUAUUGAUGUGCAGUAAUAAUAAUAAUAAUAAUAAUAAUAAUAAUAAAUUACUUAUACCCCGUCCAUAUGGCCGGACCUCCCCAGCCACUCUGGGUGGCUCCCAACAGAAUAUUAAUUUUAAAAAGUGACAACAUCAAACAUUAAAAACUUCCCUAAACAGGGCUGCCUUCGGAUGUCUUCUAAAAGUCAGAUAGUUGUGUAUUUCCUCAACAUCUGGUGGGAGGGCAUUCCACAGGGCGGGUGCCACUGCCGAGAAGGCCCUCUGCCUGGUUCCCUGUAAUCUUACUUCUCACAGUGAGGGAACCGCCAAAAGGCCCUCGGCACUGGACCUUUGAAGGAAACUAUCCCAAGUGAAUAUGCGUGCAGAGUAAGAAAGGUCUAAGGCUUGGUCCAAUUGUGAAGAUGGGAAAAUAAUAUCUAUUUAAAGAGACAAUUAGAAUGCAAUGCUAACCCCGCCAGGGCAGCAGAGGAGCUUCCUUCAUUCCACUGCUUGUUCUGGACAGGGAGGAAGGAGGACAGAAGGAAAAAACUUAUAUUUUUACAGUUUAGGCAGGCGCAUUAAGGACGUCUGCAGUAGAGGAGCUUCCCACCAGUGGAGAGCAGCCAAGCCAGGCAGAGCUGGACAGAGGGACACCACCUCAUCCAUAUCAACCUCUAUGAGAGUUUGGAUUGUUCUGCCCAUCAGAGAGCCAGAAGGAGAAACUAGAGAAGAUGUCAAGGAAGCCUGAAGAGGAGAGAACAAUUCUGAAUGCCAGUGACGGGAAGAAUGAAGUUGAAGACGUGUAAACUGCAGUGACAACUGAUAAAGCUGGUGAAUAAUGAAUGCCUUGUUGUGAUGAAAUAGAGCCAUAUGUUUUAACAGCUGAUUUAUACCUGUUCUUUUUUUAUUACUCUUGGCAUUCUGUCUCUGGUUUAUAAAUUGCCUCGGAACGAA